rnacentral:rRNA from 1 species
UACAGAGGUCUCAAGCGUUGUUCGGAUUCAUUGGGCGUAAAGGGUGCGUAGGCGGCGCGGUAAGUCGGGUGUGAAAUCUUGGAGCUUAACUCCGAAACUGCAUUCGAUACUGCCGUGCUUGAGGACUGGAGAGGAGACUGGAAUUUACGGUGUAGCGGUGAAAUGCGUAGAUACCAGGAGGAACACCGGUGGCGAAGGCGGCUUCCUGGCCGAGUACUGACGCUGAGGCACGAAAGCGUGGGGAGCGAACGGG